rnacentral:rRNA from 1 species
GACGAACGCUGGCGGCGUGCCUAAUACAUGCAAGUCGAGCGGGGAUUAUGCUUGAUCGCUUCGGUGAGACGGCAGAUAUCCUAGCGGCGGACGGGUGAGUAACGCGUGGGUAAUCUACCUCGUAGUUCGGGAUAACAGGCCGAAAGGCUUGCUAAUACCGGAUGAGUUCAUGCUUAUGCAUAUAGGCAUGAAGAAAGGGCUAGCCCGCUAUGAGAUGAGCCCGCGUCCCAUUAGCUUGUUGGUGGGGUAACGGCCUACCAAGGCAACGAUGGGUAGCCGGCCUGAGAGGGUGUACGGCCACACUGGGACUGAGACACGGCCCAGACUCCUACGGGGGGCAGCAGUAGGGAAUUUCGGCAAUGGGCGAAAGCCUGACCGAGCGACGCCGCGUGAGGGACGAAGGCCUUCGGGUUGUAAACCGUCUGUCUGGGGGGAUGGAGAACGGACGGUACCCCCGGAGGAACGCCCCGGCUAACCUACGUCGCCACGCAGCCGCGGUAAUAUAGCGUACU